rnacentral:lncRNA from 1 species
CUAAAAUACUAUCGAUAGCAAACGGGCUCCGUUGCCACCCAUUUGUUUUCGAUGAUAGAGCCUCCAAAUCGACGAUCGGCACCGUUGAACAUGAUCUAUACCACUUGAAGUGUUUAGAAAUCAAAUUUCAAAUCUUUUCGACAUCAUUUGCCUAAUGAUCAAAGGGUUUCAAAAUUUAUAAUUUUAAUGGUCGAUAUGAGGCGUUUUCUCG